UCUAUUGUAACGUUCUUUUUUAUUGUUGCUAUAGGUAACUGUGGAUGAAUUUAGUAGAUC
rnacentral:precursor_RNA from 1 species